rnacentral:lncRNA from 1 species
UGACAUUGGGGUUGCAGGGGAUUCAAAUUUGUCUUUUUCUUGUGCUUUUAAAAAUAACCUCUGCCUCCAAAAUACUAAAACUAAUAUUCAUACUUGGUCAUAAACAGAGCACUGAAAGACAGGUUAGAGUCUGAGGAAUCCUCUGGCAGAGACACAUUGUUUUACUGUGUGAAAAUUAAUCCAUUGUAAAGGUCAGCUCUUCCCAAGCCUGUCUCGUCCUGUCCUUAUGGCCCUGAUUAAGUAUCAAAUGUCUCAGGAUCUGCUUGUGUACUAUUACAGUUCCUCAUUAAGCAUCAACCUGACUGACCCCCCUGCCCCCUAUUAGUAUUAGCAGGGGACAACAGGCUCCAGAUGAGGCUACUUAAGGUCUGUAGCUGCUCAGUUAUCACUAAUGCAGAGCCAUCUUAAAUCCUCAGAGCAAAAGAGGAAUAUAAAAGGGUAUUCAUGGAAUCUUCUCUUUGUGCUGAUUGAUCAUGAACCACAGAAACAAGGUUAAUGGCUUUCACAUGUAGGCUUUUAACUGUCUCUUUUAAGAGCCUGUUGGUGCAUUGAUAGAAAAAUCAAUGAGAUUUUAUCCCUGGGAAAGCUCGGUGAUGUGUCUUUAGCCUCCUGAGACGGAUAAAACAAGUCACAAUACACGUCACAGGAGGCGUGACAGAGGAGGAAAGAGAGGAGAGAAAGUGAAAGUAAUGAGGAGACUGUGGGUCAAGGGGUGAGAGGAUGGCAAAAAAAGGUGGAGUAGAAAUCUAAUGUGAAGUUUAAACAGGAAACCAGGAAAAUAUAGAAUUAAUACAUAACUGAAGCAUUAGUGUUGACAACUAAUAUAGAAAAUGAUUGAUGCUGUACUAAACGGUGGCAUUAUUCUAUAAGGUUCAUACCCACUAGCCAUAAAAAAAAUCUCAAUUACAAACUUAAUGUAAAGAAAUUAAAGAAAUCUGAGAUGAGCCACUCGACCUCAAAGUUGUUACCCAUCUCUCACACUUGUAAAGGAAGAAGACAGAAUGUUUGAAAUUAAUACAACGGAAAAGAAGAUUCAGGUGGUGUCCUUAUCCACUCAGUUAAUUUUUAUUCAAAGUCAAUUCUUAACUUCUCACCAGACCAGACAGUGUACGUUACCUCAGGAAGAAUGAGGAGACAAGAUUAUAAUGCAGUGCAGCAAAGAUGAAGUAAAAGAAAUCAAGAUAUGAAUCAUUGGCUCUCACAGUUUUUACUCUGCAUUUAUCAGAAAAUCUAGAGCUGAAAGAAGAUAUCAUAAAUCUUCCACCACAUUAAAAACAGUGGCUGUUUCAAAAUGCUAAUCAUCAACUUGAGGAAAACUCCUUUACCUUACAAGACCAGACUGAUCCAAGACAUCAUUUGAAUACUUUAACUUUGACUUUUACAAUACUUUUGAGGGGAAAUUGUUAUGUCCUGAAUUAAAGAAUAAAAAUAGGAUAUAAAAACUACUUUCUGAUGUUCCCUAUGUAUCCAAAUGUCUAAAAAUUACAUAAAAUUGGGAGGGAAAAGUCAUCCAAAUAACCUCAGGUGCAGCAUAUUCAGAAAAUUUCCCUGAAGAGACACUACCACAAUCACAGUCACACUCAAGUGUAUACUUUUAUUGUCUACCUACCUGCAGUCGUCCUAUUUUCAUUUACAAUCUAUGAAUUUGAAUCAUGAUUUGAGCUCAUGAUCACAUGAUAUGUUGAAAAUGUAUUCUGGGAUAUUAAUUCACUGGCUUACGUAUAAUGUGUAACCAUGACUAAAGCACAUGACUCUUGGAAAGAAAAAGAGGGGAAAAAAGGUAAAAAAAAAAAAAAAAAAAAUUAGUGACUGUAACAAACUGAUUAUAUCACAUAUUCUAUUUUAGGAUGGCUUUUCCAUUUUACUGAGAUGCUCUAUUUACACCAGAGGAUGCUCUCACACUUGGUGACUCAUUGAAGAACAUGCAGAAAGUCAUUUGAUUUCUAGCUAUUUGUAACCUUGCAAACACAUAUGGAACAUCAAAAGGACAGAUACAAGGCUAAGGCCAUUAUCAUCCAUGUAAAAGUGUGCAUGCAUGUGUGCAAAUGUUGCAUAUGUACACUCUGUAAUGUCAGUGUGUGUACACAUUCAUUUAAUUACUCUGCAGCAAAGUGUAUGAGCCUGUGCUGCAGCUGAGGUCAUUUGCAUUAAUUCGGUUUGAUUGGAUUUAACAUGUAGAAUGGGGACUACUUUUCUGUUUUCUGCAGGUCCCGUCCCUGCAGACUCUAUAUAAUGGUAAUGGAACAUGCAGUCAGCCCCACAGCUGUGACACGAAGAGGGCAGGUUUUAAAAUUGCAACACAUUUUUAAAAAUAGUUUGUACCAUUAAGUAAGUGCAGAAUAAAAACAUUACAUAUGCUUGGGACAAAACAUUUGCAGGUUAACUUUGGGUGCAGUGAUGCCUGGCGGUUAAAAAAACAAUCUGUGAUAUUGACUGAAGUACUUGGAUUUUGAUCAAUAAAUGAAUUUUAAAUUCACCGUGUCUAAAUGCACGGUUUUCAAUUAAAAGCAAACCCUGUCUUCCAGUUCACACAGUUUUUCUGGUCCUUGCAACUUUUUAUCAUAUACAGUAUGUAAAGGAAAUUUCUUACUUUGGCAUUCCUACAAUUACGGCAAUAUUCUUACUUUUAGGCUGGUUGCAAAACUGAGAGCAGCUCCUAAUCUGGACCCAAAGAUUUUUUUUUUCCCAGCUGGUAUGUCCAUGGGUUAUUCAAAACAUUAAUUUAUUGUACUGAUCCAACUGAACCUGCACUUUUGAAAUACAUGAAAAUACAAUUCAUCCUUCUAAGGUUGUACUAAAUCCUACUUCUCAUCGUCAGAAAUUAUGCCGUUGGGGAUCGAUUUCUUCUCCAUGUAAAUGCGGCCAUUGGACUAAAACUGGCUUUAAGGUUCCACACAUGCUCCAUAAGUUGCACACCUACUUUUACCCCAAAAGUUGAAAAGUUGAAAGGCAGAAAUUUGUUAAUAUGAAGCCAAAUAGUGAAGAAAUCUUCUACAAAUGUAGUAAGAUCGUUUUCAAGACAAUAUGUUCAAUCUGUACAAACAAAAGGUACAGAGCUGUAAAAGUGACAGUGUUUUCAUUGUUCAACAAAAAUACUAUUAGCCAGUUAGUAACAUGUAUGUCGAUUGCUUUGUUCUGAGAUCAGGUUGACGAGGAGACAACCCAGUCGUAAUGAGCUGAAAGAGGGCAUGUUGCCAUCUGACAUAAUCAAUAAUUCAACUCUUGCUUGGUUCUUGUACAAUAGGACAGGGGAAAUAGUCCGGUUAAACUUCCCUAUCAAACUAUAACCAUAGCUCAACUUUACUGUACAUGUAAACAUGUUGAAUGUCAACUUGCUGUGAGGCAAUCCUAACCACAUGACUGUGCAGUCUUUCCUUGCAUUCUUGGUUGAUUAAUGUUACUUUCAUAGCGAAUUAGAUAAUUCAAAAGUGUAGACUCUAGUGUACAGAUGCCAAAACUCUGAUUCAAACCCAGAUACAACUUGCUGUGAGGCUGUAGACCUUGCCACCACACUAGUGUUCUGCUCUGUAGGGCUACCAAUUCAGGAUAUUUUGCUUUCCAUUAUUCCUUGUGGUUUUUCAAAAGCAUCAUCGGUUCUUCAGAGAGGCUGUUAAGCAUUGCAUGACAAGUCCAUGGCUGGAAUUUGAACCCAGUGCCGACUUGCUUUGAGGUGGAAGAACAUUCUGGCAACACUUAAGGACACCCCAGGUUGGUUUUUGAACCAAUUUGGUGUCAGCAAUGCCAAGCAUCACACUACCCUAUGUAUAUGUUUGAUUUGUACAAUACAUCUGUGGCUACUUGAUAAAAUGUAAAAGGAGUAAUCUGUGUGACUGGCAGUAAUCUUGGGGGCAAGGUUGGUAUGUAUACCAAAUUUCAUUGUCAUCUACUACAUAAUUUUUGGGAUAUUUCAAGUUGAACCAAAGUGGUGGCUCAACAAAAUGAAAGGUUGUGACCCUUUUACAAAGUGUUUGUGAGAAUAUGUAAAAAACAUUCAAACAGUCAAAACAUUGAAUCUCUGCAUCACUUUCACCAGAGAUAUAUUUUUCUUUCAAUUAAUGCAUAUGCUGGUUCAGCAAGAAAGUACCAUUGUAUAAAAACAACACAAAAGUCAAGUGGAAGUGAUUGUUAACCUGUAUUGACAGCUGUCACAUGGUUCAUCAUAAUGAUAACAGUCACAAUGACACCAACAGAAAUGUAAUGCAGCCAGAACUCAGGUACUCUUGGUACUCAGAUUUGCUCCUACUAUUUUACUCUCAAAGCUAAAUUACACCUCCAACAUCCAAUCAUCCCGCUCACACAGAGACAAAUACUGAUUCAUUGAAUCUCCUCAUGACCAAGGCUCUUUCAUGACCCCUCAAUCAACCAGUUCGAGAAGUGUUUCAGAUUAGUUCUAGACUGAUAAUCCAAAUGCACACUCUCUCAGAUUACUUUGCCGGUGGAUUACGGGUCGGGCAUCAUCUCAUAUUUGCUGCCAUAGGAGAGAGACUCAUGCCUGUGCUGUUUUUGUUCGUGUAUCCUUGUGUGCUUCCAACAGGAAUUGGUGCUAUUUAUACUUGGGCAUAUUUGGUAUCCAGAUUUAUACCUGUUUUUGGAAAGGUAAAUUCCAUUGCCUGCUGCUCCUUUCUUUUUUAAGAACAUUUUAUUUCAGAAUAAAAGAGAUGCUUCUUGUCUCUCAAAGAUUAAAUAAAAAAGCUGAUCUGCAGUCUGUCCAUUCAGCUUCUGAGCUCACUGAAACUAAUGUCUGGAUGAUUAGAUAGAAGAUUGUUUAAUCAUACUGAUAUGAUUGGUUUUGGCAUCACUCCCUGCUUAAAGUUCAGAGGCUUUACCCUGCAGUUUUUUUCUGUUUCUGUAGUGUUUAGGUUUAGGAUUAUAGCUGAAUAUAACUUUCAACACUCUUAACUGUUUUAGAGGUCCACUCUGUCCUUGAAACUUGGCGGGAACAUCUCUUGGCAGACUCUAUUGUAUGUAUUUACGACUGAUGUGCUCAUUUGUUUUUGCAUGCCAUGAAUACGAAUGUCAUUUGACUCAUUUAUUUCUGACAUAUCUCUUCAGGGGGAUUUACACAUCUCACAUAUAUAAAACCCAUGUUUUUGUUCCAGCCUGCAGACGGAGUCAAGGGCAUAGUUAUCCAGACCUCUGGCCAGCAGAGAGGGAAAAUCUCUUUGCUCCACCAGGAAAACAAUAAGGAAAGUGAGAGAAGACGCGACUGAUGAAUAGCAGGACUCCCUGUCCAGCCAACCUCAGAGCUUCUCUCUAAAUUGGCCGUGUGUCACAUUAGCAUUCAGGCUGUCCCUUUUUCCAUCCACUGAAAUGAAUCACAUCUUAUUACAGUAAUGAAAGUGCCAUGACAGAAUUGAUUAAAAACUGCCGUAAUGAAACAGUGAAACGGAACAGUGCACAGUAAAGACAGACAAAUAAAAAACAAUAAAUGAAUCGGAACAGAUGAGGCGGAAAAAUAGCCCGUCAAAUGGACGAAAAAUGACAGAUAAAAGUUGAAAAGACAAGAAAUAAAGGGAUCAGAUUUAACAACUUGCUAACAUGGCGGCAGCUCUUGGAGUCUGUAAAGAGAAUAGAGAAAAGUUAUUUUGCUAAGAUUGACAUAUUUACAGUAAUUUACAGUUUGUUGAUGUGUCGCAGUUUGAGAUAAGUGAAGAUAAGCACACACUUUCCUCGACGUUUUCUUAGAGCUAACAGGAGUACUGCUUAAGCUUAUUUCUGAGCAGUAGUUGAAAAGUGAGAGUCACCAACGUAAUCAAAACUCCCCCUGAGAGGGACCUGAUGAGAAAUCCUCCAAAUGAAAGACAAAGUCAUCUGUUACAGCCACUUUAAAGGGUCACAGAGGAGCAUUUUCUGAUCUCAAUUCCCAUAAACUAUUUCAUGAUCUGACAAAGCUACAAAGUAUGACACCAGAUGAGUCAUAUUGCCCCAGAUUCUCCUGUGUAGUCAUUGUAGUCACAGAGUUAGAGUGAAAUUCUCACUAUGUGGUUUGGUGGUGAUCAGUCUUGUGUGAUUGGACAGAAAUAAUAACCACAAAGUCCCUCAAAUCUCUUCAAGUUAAGCAAAAUCGAUAGAAAUAAUUAUAUUACAUAGCAACCAAUUUCCUCAAAUGUGACACUUGAGAUGUGAUUUAAAAGCUUAGUUUGCAAGUGAAAACAAAUAAAGGAAGGGGAAAAUUAGGAAGGACAUUAGGCCAUAUUUCAAGGUACUCAUCAAGCUAAAUAACUCAUUAGCUCCAGCUGCAAUACAGAUCACAUCAGCAAUGAGUCAAUAACAAGUUUAGAUCACCAUUACUAAGGGAUUUCUUCUCAAAACCUGAUGAAUAUACAAAUAAUACGCUUUUGUUUGUAGCAAACUGACUAUAAAACUUGAAAUGUGGCCAAAAGUUCCUCUGUUUUUCACUUUAGAACAUCUUUGUGCUGACUUUUCAAUAAAAAGGAAGAGAAACUGCAAAACAAAAUGUCAGAUUCUGAAUAUUUAACCACAUUACAACCUGAAAUAUAAUGUUACAUCAUGAGAAUAAAGUAUGGGCUCUAUGAUUAUUAUUCAGACUUGUCUAGGUGGUUAAAGAUUGAAGAGCUACACAACUACUACGGCACAGUUAAGAAUAAUCUAUGAAAGUAUGUAUGGUAAAGGCUUUAUAAACCAUCCAAUGUGGAAACAGUUUGAAGGUGAAUAUUAAGUAAAGGUGAGAAACAGUUUGAGAGCUGUGCAGGUGGCAGAACAACCUUCAACAUGAGGAGAGUAAAGAUGGUCAUCUGCCGUGGCAGCCGCAUCCAGCAGAGUUGUUGCCCAAGUGGAACCCAGAGGGGGUUGUUGAAGCGGUGGACUGAUCAGGACAUGGAGCAAAAAAUAUGCAAAGGAAGCAGGAGAGGAAGUAUUGAGGGUUGAAAUGAUUCUGUAUGUGUUAAGAAAGGAAUAGAAAAUGGCUGCCUGAGCCAAGCUAUCAAACCCACCCUCCUAUAAACACAGACAAUCCCACCAAAUAAAAAAUCCACAUAGCGGGGAGCUUCAUUGCUCUUCUUUCUAAUACUGCUGGCCAAGCAGUUUAGCAGCCUGAAGUCUGUUUCAUAUUGGAUGGUAAUAAGCCUGAGUUUCAACCCAUAACUUCUCAUGGAUUUCAUUACUUUCCUGCCCUUCUCUUGCCCUGCCCUUUUGCCCCCUUGACCUUUCAGUGCUUUGGAUUUCAAAAUGAUUUACCUGGAGUAUAUCACCUGCUUCAGCCGUAAUAUCAACCUUUAAAAACAGCAGAAAAGGAAAGUGUUUCUGUUUUGCUUCAUAACUUUUUGAUUCCCUGUGAGGCAUACAUCAGCCACACGCUGAGCUCAGCAGUCUGACUGUUUGACACUUUCCGAACAUGCAAUAUGUCGUCGCUCAGGCCCCUACCGUGCACAGCGUGUGUGAAUGUGUUUAUGUUGAUGGUGCACAAGCAUGUUUGUGUGCGUCGCUUGUGUAUAUGUGUAUGUUAGAGAACCAUUCACACAUUAAUGCACUUCUCCUGGUUAACUCUGACCUCAUCGAGCUCACACAUCUGAGCUUCCUGUUGCCUAACAGAGAACAACAACAACAACAAACACAGCAACACCAACAAUAAACACAGCAGCAACACCACUUGUUCACAUGUUGUCAUCAGAGAAGUCUCUCGACUGCAGAUGUCUGGCUGAAUACUUCAAGUCGUUGAAGAUUAGCAGUGGAGUUUGGCAGCAGAGCUGUUCUCUCUCAUGAGGAAAAAACAGGCAGUGUUGAUUGGACUGAAAUACAUGUAUCCGUUCCAGUGAAUCCUUAUCCUCAAGAAUGUAAUCUAAUUUUUAUUAUGCAAAACUAGAAACCAUGUAUAUGAAAUAAGUAGAUGAUAUAAUUGCUCAACAACUGUGGCGCCGAAGAUUUAGAUCUCUCCUUGAUGACUGGCUGCAGGAUCGUUUGACCCCAGAGUGUGGGUCAAACCCCAACAAUGAAAUAAUAAUUUCUCAUAUACACUUACAUUCCCUCUUAUCAUGCUGAUUUAUGCCCAAGGGUUCACUUUUACUUUCAAGUUGGUAACAUAGUAAGUUUUAAUAAGUAACUCUGUCAACAGAGUUGAUUGAUUGACAGCUCUUUUAACAGAUUUGGACUCAUGCAGAGUUUUGUUCUGGACCAGCAGAAGAAAAAAAAAACAGUAACAGAAGUCAACAAGUAGGAUUGGUAGUUGUUACGUGAUUUGGUUAGAAAUAAGGGUGUGGCAUCUCUACCAGCCAGGCCGCUUUUGAACAUGCCUUGGCUGCACCAAUCUGAUAACGUUGGCACUCUCGGAUACAUUUGUUUUGCUUCAUAUUUCACACUGGAAAGGAAAUAAAGCCCAUUUUACAAAAAAAUCAAUGUGCAAAACAUAAUUAAAGUCACACAAAACAUAAAGAUGAAUGAAGGGAAAGGCAAAAAGUUCUGAAAAAACGUAAGUCAAGAAUUAGAACAAACUACUCGAUCCAGUUUAGACAAUCUUCUUACUUGGUUUCUUUUUAUUCCACUCAGUUAUGUGUGUAUAUUAUGUAUGUAUUUCAAGUUAAAUAAUUUUAAAUAAUUUAAGUGUGCUAGUUGGUAUGAUGAAUGGGAGUAUUUAUGGUUAUCAUCAUAAAACACAGUACAACAUUAGUUAUCUGUGGGAUGAUUGUUGGACUCUGUGUACAGCAUGUAUUGGUUCUGUGUUUCUUGCGUCUCUUCAUUGUCUCUGAUGCUGUGCACUGCUUCUUGAUGAAAUUCUCACAUACGUCUCAGAGGAAUAUGAGAGUGAACAGAUUUCUAAUUAAACUGUGUGUAAUGCGAUGAGUGACUGAUGUGUAUUCCCCCAAAUGCCGAGUAAUUACAAGGUGAAAACUGAUGUGGAACAUCUGGCUUCUCCCUCGUGAAAUAGAAAAAAAACAUUGUGUGCAGAUUUGCCACAGUCAAACAAAACCACUAUAGUGCAUAAUUUUAAAUCCUUAACACUAUUCUGAUUUUAGUUUUAAUACCUAAGCAGCUAUAUCCAGAAAUAAUAACAAAAUUAGUCAAUCAGACCAGCUUUCACAUGAGACUGGAGGCAAAUUGUGGAUAAAUCUGGAAAAGAGAAGAACAGUGUGUGAUGUAUUAUAUUGAGGGUGCGCUUAUACUAUACUUAAGGUAAAAUCUGGAAUAUUGGUGAGUAUAUGAAGGCCAGGUCAUAUUCCCAGAGUGAUUUAAACACUCCUCCUCCAUAAUAAUAUCCUUUGUGUUUAACAAAAUCCACAUUAUGCAGCUUUUUUUUCAGCUGUACAAUCUUUUUUUUUUGUCUUGCCAUGUUUGAUGUAAUGGAGUUGAGGUUGUGGUAAUUUCUUUGGACCAAUUUACCACGAGUGCUGCCAUCCACCUUUGUAAGUCACUUUUUGUUGUGUAUUGUUGUAUUGCGGGGUCUUUUUAAACAAACAGGUGCUCCUUGAGGUUUAUUUACCUAAUAGCAUGCUAUGGCUUUCUUUACAUGGAGUAAAAUACUUCACACUGUCUUACUGGUCUUAACAAAAAAAGGAUUCAACCUCCUUCUCAAAUAUAUAUAAAAAAACAUGACUUAUGUACCAGAUUUGAUGGUACUUAAUACCUCUUAACUUUCUCUGUUGUCUUGGGGUUUGUUUGUGUGCACAGCAGCAAGUUGGUUCUGUAUUUAUGGUGUGUUUAUAGACUCUCUUUCCAGAUGCUCCUCUGCAAUAAUGUGGAGGACAGGAAUCCAUAGAGGGCUGAAAACAAAUAGGCGACACAGAUGCAAUGGCAGCUGAGCUCUUACACACAAACACACACAGCCGACACACAUGGUCUCCUCACAUAUAUGUUUUUAACCCCUCCAUGAUCACAGAGAUCAUACCAUGUUUCAAGCUCAGGAUGCUGCUUUCCCCUGCAUUUCUCACUUGGUGUUUCUGUGUCUUUUUACUCUCUCGCAGAUUAUUCCUCUGCUUUGAUGUAAUCUAAGUGUGUCGUGUCUUGUACUGAUACACAGCAGAUUGUAUCUAGUUUGAAAAAACCCUAAUGCUCUGUAACCCUUAGGCAUGUGAAGGUUUAUUCUCUAGCAAAACUGCAUAGCACAUAAAUUUUUUUUAUUUAUCAUGCAAUCAUCCCAAUUAAUUCAAAGUAGAAAACAUUCCUGGUCUAAUGAUGUCUGACUGUCACACUUACGUAGCUGCAGUGAUUCUGUGAAACCAGAGAAGGAUUUGAUAGAUGAAGAUACUGGUGGUCUGUCAGACAAAAAUACCUGAAGAGUAACAGCCCACUGCUCUCAUCCACACAUGUAAACACAUAUGGAUGUAACAUAUGGCCUGUCAGGGAUCACUCUAUCAUGAGCUUGCUGUCUCUAUCCUCAGCUAUAAUCUAUCUCUAGAGAUGGGAUUCUCUGUUUAUCCUCAGUUAUGUAAUGAUCUUUAUGUGUUGAUGGUUUCCACUCUUAAGUCUUCCUUUCUUUCUAUGUAAACAUCAGCUUUAUAGAUUGUUUAUUUGCUGUUGUCUUGCAAACAUUUACUAGCUUUAUCUUGAUGUUGGGUCUUCUUAUUCUACCCUGCAUUGAUGCUACACAAAGAAACAACAUAAUAGGGGAUUUAUUUGGACACAAAUGGGCAAUUAUCUCGCUCUGAAACCGGAAAAGAAGGCCAGACAAAGCUUGUUUCAAACUGUGAAAACAUGGUCCCCAUUGUAGUAUAAGUAUGCAGCAGCUCAUCCGUUUGCUUUAUGAAUAAGGUGGUUAGGAAGUUUUUAUUUAUUUAUCUGUGCAUCCCUUCCUGAGAGCUGCAGUUCUUCCAUGUUCCUUUGUCAUGAUUUGUUUCACUUAUUUUAAUUCCCACAAUCCCUCAAUGAAUGUCA